rnacentral:rRNA from 1 species
AGAGUUUGAUCAUGGCUCAGGAUGAACGCUGGCGGCGUGCUUAACACAUGCAAGUCGAACGGGAUCCAUCGGGCUUUGCUUGGUGGUGAGAGUGGCGAACGGGUGAGUAAUGCGUGACCGACCUGCCCCAUGCACCGGAAUAGCUCCUGGAAACGGGUGGUAAUGCCGGAUGUUCCAGUUGAUCGCAUGGUCUUCUGGGAAAGCUUUCGCGGUAUGGGAUGGGGUCGCGUCCUAUCAGCUUGACGGCGGGGUAACGGCCCACCGUGGCUUCGACGGGUAGCCGGCCUGAGAGGGCGACCGGCCACAUUGGGACUGAGAUACGGCCCAGACUCCUACGGGAGGCAGCAGUGGGGAAUAUUGCACAAUGGGCGCAAGCCUGAUGCAGCGACGCCGCGUGAGGGAUGGAGGCCUUCGGGUUGUAAACCUCUUUUAUCGGGGAGCAAGCGUGAGUGAGCUUACCCGUUGAAUAAGCACCGGCUAACUACGUGCCAGCAGCCGCGGUAAUACGUAGGGUGCAAGCGUUAUCCGGAAUUAUUGGGCGUAAAGGGCUCGUAGGCGGUUCGUCGCGUCCGGUGUGAAAGUCCAUCGCUUAACGGUGGAUCCGCGCCGGGUACGGGCGGGCUUGAGUGCGGUAGGGGAGACUGGAAUUCCCGGUGUAACGGUGGAAUGUGUAGAUAUCGGGAAGAACACCAAUGGCGAAGGCAGGUCUCUGGGCCGUUACUGACGCUGAGGAGCGAAAGCGUGGGGAGCGAACAGGAUUAGAUACCCUGGUAGUCCACGCCGUAAACGGUGGAUGCUGGAUGUGGGGCCCGUUCCACGGGUUCCGUGUCGGAGCUAACGCGUUAAGCAUCCCGCCUGGGGAGUACGGCCGCAAGGCUAAAACUCAAAGGAAUUGACGGGGGCCCGCACAAG